GACAGAGGGUGCAAACGUUGUUCGGAAUUACUGGGCGUAAAGCGCGUGUAGGCGGCCAUGCAAGUCGGAUGUGAAAGCCCUCGGCUCAACCGGGGAAGUGCACUCGAAACUGCAAGGCUAGAGUCUCGGAGAGGAUCGUGGAAUUCUCGGUGUAGAGGUGAAAUUCGUAGAUAUCGAGAGGAACACCGGUGGCGAAGGCGGCAUCCUGGACCGGCAUUGACGCUGAGGAGCGAAAGCUAGGGGAGCAAACGGG
rnacentral:rRNA from 1 species